AUUGAAUGCUGGCGGAAUGCUUUACACAUGCAAGUCGAACGGCAGCACGGGGGCAACCCUGGUGGCGAGUGGCGAACGGGUGAGUAAUACAUCGGAACGUGCCCAGUCGUGGGGGAUAACGUAGCGAAAGCUACGCUAAUACCGCAUACGAUCUACGGAUGAAAGCGGGGGAUCGCAAGACCUCGCGCGAUUGGAGCGGCCGAUGGCAGAUUAGGUAGUUGGUGGGGUAAAGGCUCACCAAGCCUUCGAUCUGUAGCUGGUCUGAGAGGACGACCAGCCACACUGGGACUGAGACACGGCCCAGACUCCUACGGGAGGCAGCAGUGGGGAAUUUUGGACAAUGGGCGAAAGCCUGAUCCAGCCAUUCCGCGUGCAGGAUGAAGGCCCUCGGGUUGUAAACUGCUUUUGUACGGAACGAAACGGCCUUUUCUAAUACAGAGGGCUAAUGACGGUACCGUAAGAAUAAGCACCGGCUAACUACGUGCCAGCAGCCGCGGU
rnacentral:rRNA from 1 species